GGGGGGACCACCCUCCAACCCUAAAUACUACCCAGUGACCGAUAGCGUAUAGUACUGUGAAGGAAAGGUGAAAAGCACCCCGGGAGGGGAGUGAAAAAGAACCUGAAACCCUGUGCCUACAAGCACCUAGAGCGCGUCAAAGCGUGAUAGGGUACUUUUUGUAGAACGGUCCGGCGAGCGAUUGUAUGCAGCAAGGUUAAGGACUUAAGGUCUGGAGCCGAAGCGAAAGCGAGUUUGAAAAGGGCGUUAAGUUGCAUAUAAUGGGCCCGAAACCGGGUGACCUACCCAUGGUCAGGUUGAAGUGGAAGUAAAAUUCCAUGGAGGACCGAACCGACCUCCGUUGAAAAGGCGGCGGAUGAACUGUGGGUAGCGGAGAAAUUCCAAUCGAACCCGGAGAUAGCUGGUUCUCCCCGAAAUAGUUUUAGGACUAGCCUCAAGUUAGAUACCUGGAGGUAAAGCACUGAAUAGCCUAGCGGCCGAGAGGUUAGCGAAGCUUAUCAAACUCAGAAUGCCAGAGUAUUGAUGCUUGGGAGUCAGACAGUGUCAGAUAAAUGUCAUUGUCAAAAGGGAAACAGCCCAGAUCUACAGCUAAGGUCCCAAAGUCAGGUUAAGUGGAAAACGAUGUGAAGAUACGCAGACAACCAGGAUGUUGGCUCAGAAGCAGCCACUCAUUCAAAGAGUGCGUAAUAGCUCACUGGUCGAGCGUCUUUGCGCGGAGAAUUUAACGGGGCUAAACCUGACACCGAAGCUUAGGCAAUGCACGUAAGUGUAUUGGGUAGGGGAGCGUUGUAUACGCGGAGAAACAGUAGCGUAAGCGGCUGUGGAGUGUAUAGAAGUGAGAAUGCCGGAAUGAGUAGCGCGAAUGCAGUGAGAAUCUGCAUGGCCGAAAGCCUCAGGUUUCUGGAGGAAGGUUCGUCCGCUCCAGGUUAGUCGGGAGCUAAGGUGAGGCCGAAAGGCGUAGCCGAUGCACAGACGGUAGAGAUUCCGUCACCACCAAAAGAGUUAAGCACAGGGACACAUAUGAAGUCUCAGAGCCGGGUGUUGGUUCCGGUAGAGAUCGAGGGAAAUUAGUACCGAAGUCUGAGAUGGAAGAUGGCGAGAAAAGCUGUGUGUAUUUCUGAGGUGCCCGUACCGCAAACCGACACAGGUAGGUAGGAAGAAGAUUCUAAGGCCAACGGGAGAAGGGUUGUUAAGGAACUCGGCAAAUUGACCCCGUAACUUCGGGAGAAGGGGUGCUCCAGAGAUGGAGCCGCAGAGAAUCGGCCCAAGCAACUGUUUACCAAAAACACAGGUUUGUGCUAAAUCGAAAGAUGACGUAUACGAGCUGACGCCUGCCCGGUGCUGGAAGGUUAAGAGGAGAUGUGCAAGCAUUGAAUCGAAGCCCCAGUGAACGGCGGCCGUAACUAUAACGGUCCUAAGGUAGCGAAAUUCCUUGUCAGGUAAG
rnacentral:rRNA from 1 species